rnacentral:rRNA from 1 species
UACGUAGGGUGCAAACGUUAUCCGGAUUUAUUGGGCGUAAAGAGCUCGUAGGUGGACGGACAAGUCGGAUAUGAAAGACCCAGGCCCAACCUGGGGAACGUAUUCGAUACUACCCGUCUAGAGGUAUGCAGGGGAAGAUGGAACUUACGGUGGAGCAGUGAAAUGCGUAGAUAUCGUAAGGAACGCCAAUGGUGAAGACAGUCUUCUGGGCAUAUCCUGACACUGAGGAGCGAAAGCGUGGGGAGCGAACGGG